rnacentral:lncRNA from 1 species
AAACAAAGAUAGAUGUUGAGGAGGAAGACCUGGAUAGGGAGCCGGUUACGAAUAAAUCUGGGACUAGGAAACCCCAAACUACGAAUGGAAACACUUUUUCAAGCAGGGGUAAACGGAUCUGGUUAGGAAGCCGGAGAUGGAAGAGAGGGUGUCGUGUCGGAUCUUCAAUCGGGGCAAACAACGGAUGCUCAGGAUAAAGCUGGACUUCGAUUAGUUUUUGAUGGAUAUGAGCUUUCCCUGAAUAAGGAUCAAAAUAUGCUUCCUAAAACAGCAUGCGCAAUGGUGGGCCGAGUACAUAUCAUAGCGUAUAUCAAGUAUCCAACACCUUCCGAAUAAGGAAUGGAAGCCGACUUAAUAAAACUACAUCUUGCUGAUGUAGGUGUAGACAGGUAUUCUAAAAGGAGUGACAAUAUUGGGUGUAAGGAUUCUUCUAUGCAAACAUUGACCACUCGUAUGGUAGCCUCACAACCAUCUACAAGGGAGACUUCCACCUCAACCUGAAGUUCACCCACGUGGAGCCUUUACUAGUCGGAGUGGUAAGACUACAACCGNN